AACGAACGCUGGCGGCAGGCUUAGCACAUGCAAGUCGAGCGCCCCGCAAGGGGAGCGGCAGACGGGUGAGUAACGCGUGGGAAUCUACCCAUCUCUACGGAAUAACGCAUGGAAACGUGUGCUAAUACCGUAUACGUCCUUCGGGAGAAAGAUUUAUCGGAGAUGGAUGAGCCCGCGUUGGAUUAGAUAGUUGGUGGGGUAAAGGCCUACCAAGGCGACGAUCCAUAGCUGGUCUGAGAGGAUGAUCAGCCACACUGGGACUGAGACACGGCCCAGUCUCCUACGGGAGGCAGCAGUGGGGAAUAUUUGACAAUGGGCGCAAGCCUGAUCCAGCCAUGCCGCGUGAGUGAUGAAGGCCCUAGGGUUGUAAAGCUCUUUCACCGGUGAAGAUAAUGACGGUAACCGGAGAAGAAGCCCCGGCUAACUUCGUGCCAGCCGCCGCCGUAAUAC
rnacentral:rRNA from 1 species